CGUAGGUCCGAGCGUUGUCCGGAAUUAUUGGGCGUAAGGGCUUGUAGGCGGUCCGUCGCGUCAGAAGUGAAACUCAGGGCUUAACCCUGAGCCUGCUUUGAUACGGGCGGACUAGAGGGAUGCAGGGAGACGGAUUCCUGGUGGAGCGGUGGAUGCGCAGAUAUCAGGAGGAACACCGGUGGCGAAGGCGGUUCUCUGGGCAUUACCUGACGCUGAGAAGCGAAAGCGUGGGAGCAAACAGGCUU
rnacentral:rRNA from 1 species